ACAAAAACGUCUCUUAUCCAUGCAUUUCAUUCCGUUUUCUUCAUUUUUCCCAAUGGCUCGUUGUUCAGGUUGUCCAGCACCGCAUUUCGUAAAUAAACCAAUCAAUCAGGUGCAAACUUU
ensembl:ncRNA C18D1.11 ncRNA